rnacentral:tRNA from 1 species
AUGCUUGGGGCCCACACCUGCACUGGCUGGUCACCAAAGCCCGCUGCCCCCCCCCUCCCCCUACUUCCCCAAAGCACCAAAGCUAGGUCCCCGGGCAUUCCACACCUCUGCAUCUCAUCGGAGAUGAUGGGGGCGCGCGCCCCAUGAAGGUCUUAAGGUUUCCUCUUCGGUCCCUGUCUGCUGGUCUCUGUAGACGGUGACAUUAGAGGCUGGGGUCUCUGGGCGACUUCCAAGCCAUACCAUCUUCCUGAAGGUCACCUGUUGGACUUCCGCGGCAGGGCCUCCUGAACCCGCAGAGGGUCCCCUUCAGUCCUUCUUGGUGGAGACCCCAGCGGUCGGAGGCCGGAGAGCGGACAAGGUGGAAGUGUUGCGUGUGUCUCACCUCCCCGGGCCACACGCACACGUGCAGCAGGAGAAUCGGCGCCCCGGCUGACUGCGGAGGUGCGGGUGUGGCGCGGCGUGCGAGCCGUCCCUGCUCCCUCGGCGGGAACGCUGCCCCCUCGCGGCUGCAGGGACAGGUGCAACGGCACGGGAAGCCUCGAGGGUCCUCCCGUCGACCAGAGACCCGAAGGCGCCUCCGAGGUUCUUGCUCAUCACCACGGCCAGGCCCGUGGGGGCCCCCGCGGCAUCUCGCUUCGGCCAACGUCCGCCUCGACGCGAGCGCGCGGUGGGCAAUGGCUUGGGAACUAGCACCCUGAGGUGUGCUAGUCCCGUCCCACCGAGUAGAUCAGGCGGUCUUCUGUCUCCGUAAGUCCGUAUCUUUCGGGACCUUACGAGGGGCAGGGAAGAGGGAGACAGAGCCUGCAGCAGCUGGGAGGGACGGAAGCAGGGACCGCCCCGCCCCGGGAGGUGGGGCAGGAGACCGAGGCCGAGACCGAGGUGGAGAGGGACAGUUUUCACGAACGCCCAGACGCCGGGCCGCCUCGGGGGCUGGCCGAGGGCACAAGCCCUUCGCCCACUGCUGUCUGUCUGGGGCGGGAAAGGAAAGGAGUGGAAAGGGCGCGGGGACGCGCGUGUAGGUAGGCUGCGGGAGGAAGGCGCAGGCGUGUGCCCCUGGCGACAGCGCACGCGCGGCUGAGUAGGGGGCUGUGCCCUAAAGGUUUCCCCGACUUGGGCCUGGGGGAAGACGGCGACGCCAGGCUGCCAGGGCCGGCGCGGGGCAGAGGCCGGGCGGGCGCUGCGGGGCCGUGGCUUCCCGGAGGGCGCAAAAGCGUCAGGCACCUCCUUCGAGCCGGAAUCGAACCAGCGACCUAAGGAUGUCCGCGCCUAGCCAGCCUACAGUCCUCCGCUCUACCCGCUGAGCUACCGAAGGGUGCGCGCUCACACGCCUGGGUCGUUAGCGUUUCUCCG